rnacentral:rRNA from 1 species
UACGUAGGGUGCGAGCGUUGUCCGGAAUUAUUGGGCGUAAAGAGCUUGUAGGCGGUUUGUCGCGUCUGCUGUGAAAAUCCGGGGCUCAACUCCGGACUUGCAGUGGGUACGGGGCAGGCUAGAGUGUGGUAGGGGGAGACUGGAAUUCCUGGUGUAGCGGUGGAAUGCGCAGAUAUCAGGAGGAACACCGAUGGCGAAGGCAGCUCGCUGGGACGGUACUGACGCUGAGGCGCGAAAGCGUGGGGAGCAAACAGG